rnacentral:pre_miRNA from 1 species
ACUCUUUCCCUGUUGCACUACUGUGCGCCCCUGGCAAGCAGUGCAAUGAUGAAAGGGCAU